GACGGACGCUGGCGGCGUGCCUAAUACAUGCAAGUCGAGCGGACUUAAAAAGCUUGCUUUUUAAGUUAGUGGCGGACGGGUGCGUAACACGUGGGCAACAUGCCUGUAAGACUGGGAUAACUUCGGGAAACCGGAUCUAAUACCGGAUAAUCCUUUCCUACUCACGUAGGAAAGCUGAAAGACGGUUUACGCUGUCACUUACAGAGGGGCCCGCGGCACAUUAGCUGGUAGGUGAGGGAACGGCUCACCAAGGCGACGAUGCGUAGCCGACCUGAGAGGGUGAUCGGCCACACUGGGACUGAGACACGGCCCAGACUCCUACGGGAGGCAGCAGUAGGGAAUCUUCCGCAAUGGACGGAAGUCUGACGGAGCAACGCCGCGUGAGUGAUGAAGGUUUUCGGAUCGUAAAACUCUGUUGUUAGGGAAGAACAAGUACGAGAGUAACUGCUCGUACCUUGACGGUACCUAACCAGAAAGCCACGGCUAACUACGUGCCAGCCGCCGCCGUAA
rnacentral:rRNA from 1 species